CACGGGGGGAGCAAGCGUUGUUCGGAUUCAUUGGGCGUAAAGGGUGCGUAGGUGGCGCUGUAAGUCGGGUGUGAAAUUUCGGAGCUUAACUCCGAAACUGCAUUCGAUACUGCGGUGCUUGAGGACUGGAGAGGAGACUGGAAUUCAUGGUGUAGCAGUGAAAUGCGUAGAGAUCAUGAGGAAGACCAGUGGCGAAGGCGGGUCUCUGGACAGUUCCUGACACUGAGACACGAAGGCCAGGGGAGCAAACGGG
rnacentral:rRNA from 1 species